AGAGGGUGCGAGCGUUAAUCGGAAUUACUGGGCGUAAAGCGCACGUAGGUGGAUAUUCAAGUCGGAUGUGAAAAGCCUGGGCUCAACCUAGGUCGGUCAUUCGAGACUGGAUGUCUAGAGUAUAGUAGAGGGAAGUGGAAUUUCCGGUGUAGCGGUGAAAUGCGUAGAUAUCGGAAGGAACACCAGUGGCGAAGGCGUCUUCCUGGACUAAUACUGACACUGAGGAGCGAAAGCAUGGGGUAGCAAACAGGAUUAGAUACCCUGGUAGUCCAUGCUGUAAACGAUGAGGACUAGCUGUUGGGAUGUUAAACAUUUUUAGUGGCGCAGCAAACGCGAUAAGUUCUCCGCCUGGGAGUACGGCCGCAAGGCUA
rnacentral:rRNA from 1 species